rnacentral:rRNA from 1 species
GAUGAACGCUGGCGGCGUGCUUAACACAUGCAAGUCGAACGAUGAAGCCCAGCUUGCUGGGUGGAUUAGUGGCGAACGGGUGAGUAACACUUGGGUGAUCUGCCCUGCACUUCGGGAUAAGCCUGGGAAACUGGGUCUAAUACCGGAUAGGAGCCAUUUUUAGUGUGAUGGUUGGAAAGUUUUUUCGGUGUAGGAUGAGCUCGCGGCCUAUCAGCUUGUUGGUGGGGUAAUGGCCUACCAAGGCGGCGACGGGUAGCCGGCCUGAGAGGGUGGACGGCCACAUUGGGACUGAGAUACGGCCCAGACUCCUACGGGAGGCAGCAGUGGGGAAUAUUGCACAAUGGGCGCAAGCCUGAUGCAGCGACGCCGCGUGGGGGAUGACGGCCUUCGGGUUGUAAACUCCUUUCGCUAGGGACGAAGCUUUUGUGACGGUACCUAGAUAAGAAGCACCGGCUAACUACGUG